UGAAUUCAGUGACAGAAUUGGACUUCAAGAGGAUAUGAAUUCAGCUAAAUAUGAAAGAAAACCCAGACAAACAAACAAAACAAACACCCAACCCACACUACCAAAACUGUGUAUUUGAUUCCUCAUAGGAAAUUACUUCUGUUUUUGGACCCAAUGUCUGUACAAGCUGGUGUCUCUGACGCCAGACAGCAGUGAGAGAUUGGUGAGAAGGACAUAAAGAACAAGGCACAGCAAGGCCAACAUGGUGCUUCAAGCCUCCUCAUGACCUCUGCCUGCCUUCCAGCAUGCAGACCUGUGCUACAGCAGACCCCAGGAAGACUCACAAAAAAUCACAUGAAGUUGCCCAUCGUGACUUUGUACUGGGGAACUGAGAAUGAAAUGGAGCAAAUUUUACCCUCUUGGACCCAGAGGACAAAGAAGCUUGAGGAACACCUGAGUACUGUUGAUGGUAUGGAGUGCAAGAGGACAUUGGAGCCCUGCUUCUUGUCCCACGGAGGCUUUGAGCGUGCUAAUCACCACGGAAUGAGGACAACUGGAGUACAGGAUGAUGAGUAG
rnacentral:lncRNA from 14 species